rnacentral:rRNA from 1 species
GCGGCGGACGGGUGAGUAACACGUGGGUAACCUGCCUGUAAGACUGGGAUAACUCCGGGAAACCGGAGCUAAUACCGGAUAGUUCCUUGAACCGCAUGGUUCAAGGAUGAAAGACGGUUUCGGCUGUCACUUACAGAUGGACCCGCGGCGCAUUAGCUAGUUGGUGAGGUAACGGCUCACCAAGGCGACGAUGCGUAGCCGACCUGAGAGGGUGAUCGGCCACACUGGGACUGAGACACGGCCCAGACUCCUACGGGAGGCAGCAGUAGGGAAUCUUCCGCAAUGGACGAAAGUCUGACGGAGCAACGCCGCGUGAGUGAUGAAGGUUUUCGGAUCGUAAAGCUCUGUUGUUAGGGAAGAACAAGUGCAAGAGUAACUGCUUGCACCUUGACGGUACCUAACCAGAAAGCCACGGCUAACUACGUGCCAGCAGCCGCGGUAAUACGUAGGUGGCAAGCGUUGUCCGGAAUUAUUGGGCGUAAAGGGCUCGCAGGCGGUUUCUUAAGUCUGAUGUGAAAGCCCCCGGCUCAACCGGGGAGGGUCAUUGGAAACUGGGAAACUUGAGUGCAGAAGAGGAGAGUGGAAUUCCACGUGUAGCGGUGAAAUGCGUAGAGAUGUGGAGGAACACCAGUGGCGAAGGCGACUCUCUGGUCUGUAACUGACGCUGAGGAGCGAAAGCGUGGGGAGCGAACAGGAUUAGAUACCCUGGUAGUCCACGCCGUAAACGAUGAGUGCUAAGUGUUAGGGGGUUUCCGCCCCUUAGUGCUGCAGCUAACGCAUUAAGCACUCCGCCUGGGGAGUACGGUCGCAAGACUGAAACUCAAAGGAAUUGACGGGGGCCCGCACAAGCGGUGGAGCAUGUGGUUUAAUUCGAAGCAACGCGAAGAACCUUACCAGGUCUUGACAUCCUCUGACAACCCUAGAGAUAGGGCUUUCCCUUCGGGGACAGAGUGACAGGUGGUGCAUGGUUGUCGUCAGCUCGUGUCGUGAGAUGUUGGGUUAAGUCCCGCAACGAGCGCAACCCUUGAUCUUAGUUGCCAGCAUUCAGUUGGGCACUCUAAGGUGACUGCCGGUGACAAACCGGAGGAAGGUGGGGAUGACGUCAAAUCAUCAUGCCCCUUAUGACCUGGGCUACACACGUGCUACAAUGGACAGAACAAAGGGCUGCGAGACCGCAAGGUUUAGCCAAUCCCACAAAUCUGUUCUCAGUUCGGAUCGCAGUCUGCAACUCGACUGCGUGAAGCCUGGAAUCGCUA